rnacentral:rRNA from 1 species
UACAGAGGAGCCAAGCGUUGUCCGGAUUGACUGGGCGUAAAGCGCACGCAGGCGGUGGUGCGCGUGGGGUGUGAAAUCUGGCCGCUUAACGGCCAGGCGCCAUCCCAUACGGCACGACUGGAGGGCUGCAGAGGUCGAUGGAAUUGCCGGUGUAGUGGUGAAAUGCGUAGAUAUCAGGAGGAACACCUGCGGUGUAGACGGCUUACUGGACCAUAACUGACGCUGAGGCACGAAAGCGUGGGUAGCAAACAGG